rnacentral:misc_RNA from 1 species
UCAACUGGGCACAGUCAGAGG